AUCAAUAUCAAUUCAUUGGUUCAUUAUUAACCACCACGUCAACACACCACCAGAGCCACCAGCUCACCACCGCAAUCCGUUACUCCAUCCAGCAACCAUAAAUCCGGCCAGCCACCAAAUGGGCUCACACGUUUAUGAUUACACUAUCCCAACAAUUCCAUUCAGAAUGACUCGAUUGAUGAUGUCCUUCCACCUGUUUUGCGCAACCUUCUUGAUAUUGGGUUUGUGUUUGAUCAUACACAAACCCAAAUAAUUAAUGAUAAUCCAUAAAAGGCCUAGAAGAUAUUUGGGAACAAAUGGACUGAAAUAACAUAAGGGCCUAAGGGGUAAAACAUGACCCGAAAUGUGUAGACAGGUAAACCCAAGGCAACUUGACACCAAUUUUGGGGAAGAUAUGUUUGAUGAUGUUCGAGCCAAAGAAUGAUCAUUACAAACAAAGAAUGGUGCUGGCCAACUAAAACAAUAAAGCAGAACAAGGCGUGUGGGUAGAGUUGCUGAACUUGAAACUCAUUUUACUUAACUCGAGGACGCUUUGAGGAUGGUUUAGGAUCAACUAACUGUUUGGAAUCAUGGAAAAAGGCGACAAGGUCACUAUACAGAACCCUCAUACAUAUGAAGAGAAGAAAUUUUGCGCAAGGAAGAUCAUGAGUUUGAGCCGAGAGGGGCACCCAUGGCUGAGGGUAAAUGAAAGGAAAUGAUCGAGAAAGGUCAUAAAUCUAGAAUUAAGCCUAACUCAUGCACAAUUGAGUCGGUAGAGAUGUAUGCAAACUUGGCACCUUUUGGCAUCAUAUAUGUGUUUUUUUUGUUCUCUUUUAAUAUUUAUAGAUAAUUAUAUAAGACUUUCUUGAGUAUAAGUCGGUAAUUUCAUUGUGUAAAAAUAAUAGACGUCUUUGCCAGGCAACCUACAACUUAAGUCAUUAGCUUGCUUUGGCUGAUGUAAUUACAAAAGAAGAAAGGGGAAACGACCUCUUUGUUAUCUUGACUUCGAUGAGUGAAUAAUACUUAGUAUGAUUGUAACUUUAUAAUACUGUUUUGUCACAA